rnacentral:rRNA from 1 species
GGGCGUUAAGUUGCAGGGUAUAGACCCGAAACCCGGUGAUCUAGCCAUGGGCAGGUUGAAGGUUGGGUAACACUAACUGGAGGACCGAACCGACUAAUGUUGAAAAAUUAGCGGAUGACUUGUGGCUGGGGGUGAAAGGCCAAUCAAACCGGGAGAUAGCUGGUUCUCCCCGAAAGCUAUUUAGGUAGCGCCUCGUGAACUCAUCUUCGGGGGUAGAGCACUGUUUCGGCUAGGGGGUCAUCCCGACUUACCAACCCGAUGCAAACUACGAAUACCGAAGAAUGUUAUCACGGGAGACACACGGCGGGUGCUAACGUCCGUCGUGAAGAGGGAAACAACCCAGACCGCCAGCUAAGGUCCCAAAGUCAUGGUUAAGUGGGAAACGAUGUGGGAAGGCACAGACAGCCAGGAUGUUGGCUUAGAAGCAGCCAUCAUUUAAAGAAAGCGUAAUAGCUCACUGGUCGAGUCGGCCUGCGCGGAAGAUGUAACGGGGCUAAACCAUGCACCGAAGCUGCGGCAGCGA